UACGUAGGGGGCAAGCGUUGUCCGGAAUCAUUGGGCGUAAAGCGCGUGUAGGCGGCCCGGUAAGUCCGCUGUGAAAGUCGGGGGCUCAACCCUCGAAUGCCGGUGGAUACUGUCGGGCUAGAGUGCGGGAGAGGCGAGUGGAAUUCCUGGUGUAGCGGUGAAAUGCGCAGAUAUCAGGAGGAACACCAAUUGCGAAGGCAGCUCGCUGGAACGUAAUUGACGCUGAGACGCGAAAGCGUGGGGAGCAAACAGG
rnacentral:rRNA from 1 species